rnacentral:rRNA from 1 species
GUGGGGGAUAUUGCACAAUGGGCGCAAGCCUGAUGCAGCAACGCCGCGUGAGGGAAGACGGUCUUCGGAUUGUAAACCUUUGUCUUUGGUGAAGAAGAAAGUGACGGUAGCCGAGGAGGAAGCCACGGCUAACUACGUGCCAGCAGCCGCGGUAAUACGUAGGUGGCAAGCGUUGUCCGGAUUUACUGGGUGUAAAGGGAGCGCAGGCGGGAUGACAAGUCAGCUGUGAAAUGUGUGGGCUUAACCCAUAAACUGCAGUUGAAACUGUUGUUCUUGAGUGGAGUAGAGGCAAGCGGAAUUCCGAGUGUAGCGGUGAAAUGCGUAGAUAUUCGGAGGAACACCAGUGGCGAAGGCGGCUUGCUGGGCUCUAACUGACGCUGAGGCUCGAAAGUGUGGGGAGCAAACAGG